rnacentral:rRNA from 1 species
GUCUCAGUUCAGAUUGCAGGCUGCAACUCGCCUACACGAAGUCGGAAUCGUUAGUAAUCGCGGAUCAGCAUGCCGCGGUGAAUACGUUCCCGGGCCUUGUACACACCGCCCGUCACACCAUGGGAGUUUGUAACGCCCAAAGUCGGUGGCCUAACCUUUAUGGAGGGAGCCGCCUAAGGCGGGACAGAUGACUGGGGUGAAGUCGUAACAAGGUACC